rnacentral:rRNA from 1 species
AGUGGCGGACGGGUGAGUAACGCGUGGGUAACCUGCCUCAUACAGGGGGAUAACAGUUAGAAAUGACUGCUAAUACCGCAUAAGACCACAGCACCGCACGGUGCAGGGGUAAAAACUCCGGUGGUAUGAGAUGGACCCGCGUCUGAUUAGGUAGUUGGUGGGGUAACGGCCUACCAAGCCGACGAUCAGUAGCCGACCUGAGAGGGUGACCGGCCACAUUGGGACUGAGACACGGCCCAA